ensembl:lncRNA
GGGCAGGAGAAUAACACUCAUAAAGGAGGGAGUUGUGUGAGGCACAAUGCUUCGCCUCAGGCACAAGACUCAACAGGCCUUUGUUUGUGGACACCAGGAGAGCAGAGCAGAGCCGUAUGGAGUCAGACACCAGAGUGAACCUCUCGCCAAGACAGAAAUACUCCUUCCAUAGUGUCACCUUUGCAGGGCCCCAGACAUAAGGUACACAUGUGAGUGCCAAGGAAUUGGUUGACAGGCAUUUAUGCCUUGUAGAAAUAUGUAGGAGAAAAUACAUUAGUGGAAGGAGAGGAGCUGCUCAGUGACUGAACAAAAAUAUAUAAAAAAGAUUUGAAGGAUCUCUAAGGAAUCAGAGGCCCUUAACACUGUGGAGCUCGAAAAAUCAAAAUGGAAAUCCAUUUGAGCAAUAUGCAAGCAUCAACCUUCCUGCACGCAUACAGACACAGCUGUAGACACACAAACACACACAUUCUCAUCUGAUUAACUGGACCUCAUUUUCAUAAAAAAAAACUUCAAAAAGGUCAUCAAACAUUCUCCCAACCUUUCCAGACAGAUCUCUGAUAGGUCUGAUAUGCUGAUUUUAUUCUUAUUAGAUGGCUCCAGGGUGGUCAAAAGCUGUAUUCGCCUCGAACAGCUCUGCUGAUAUAUUUGCCUUUUAAAGUCAUUGACUCGACAAAUGCAAAACAGUUCCUCUCUCAGGACAUAUCAACUUCCCAUGUUUUGACCUUUCAACAGGAAGUUCUUCCUGCUAAUUCAAUGCAAAGACAAUGAAAAAAGGUUUUCCGCCCUGUUCAAGUGUGAGACUAAACACAAAAGGCUUGUAGUCUGCUUUUCAGACUCACACAAAGAGAACUGUUGAAAGCCUUGCUGUGAACUCUGGUACCCCUGCUCUGUCCAAGUAGGGGGCACACAUCUCAGAUAAUACUGGUGCUGUGCUGGCUCUAAAUAGGAGAUGCAUUGCAAAUUAAAGUUUAAUAUAUUUUCAAUUUAGGCAAGCUGCAAUAAACACCUCAGUCUAUCUUCGACUCAAUAACUAAAAAAGACAAAUGAUUAUUAUUGAGGCACAUGAGCCCACUUCUCAACAUGAGCAGUUACACAAUCCUUGUCUGUAAUGUUUUAUGAAGUAAUGUUCAUCUCGAACUCAAAACAUAUGAUAACCCAAAUAAAGAUUUGAAAAGCUGAAAGGUGUGUACCUGAAAAAAACUUUAUUAGAUUGUCUAGGGCUAACUUUGCCAAGGUUACAGCAACAUUCUGAAAUGUUCCUUUUGUGAAGAGAACCAGAAUGUUUGUGUCCAGUCCCCAGUUACAAAUGAAACCGAAAAAUCAUGUUGCUGAAAUUAGCUGAAAUACCUUACAAAAUAUGUCCAAGCUGUAGUUCAUGAGCCAUAAGAACCAAUUAGCGAGGACAUUGAUGUUCGUGUUGAACCUGGGACAUUUCCAGAUGAUACGAGGGCCUUCGCAUUGGGGAAACAACAGAGCCUUCUUGUCUGAGGAAGACAUGAUGAUUUCAGAACUGUGUGAGAGGUAACGGGGCAUCAUCUGCUUGCAAUUAGCCUCCUCAUGCAACGAGAAUUUCAAACUUCUUGUUUUAUGUUGGAGAAUGGCAAUAUGCAACAUGGCUAUAAAUAGCAUCACUGUCGCUGCGGAGAAGAAAUGAGACCAUCAGUCCAAUCCUGGCAGGAGUAAGUCAUGCACGUUGUUUAUCACACAUUGCAUAGUGAUGGCCAACUAGAUUGUCCCAGUAUGAUGUCAUACUGUAACACAGAAUAUAACGUUCAGAAUUACACUACACUAACUCAUCAUCACCCCAACUUCAAACAAUCCCCUCUCGCCUCUCUCUGGGGUCAGGAGAGGUAGCGCCAGGUUGUGGAUUGGUAACGUCAGUCCGACACCCAAUGAGUGAAUUAUGGAUCAGGAUCAGCACCCAUCAGAUACCAAUAUUGGAUGGGUGGGAUCGGAUCGGCCCCGACUCUAGACCCAACGCACCUGCUGAAUCGAUCACGCUACCCUGAAGGAACCUGUAAUAUUGGC